UUCCGUGCCUUUUCCUCAGUCCAGUGAAAGAGAAACAUAGAAGGACCAUAAAAAUCUGAGGGAUUACUCCAGGAAAUGUAUGUUAAUGAAAAGGAAAGACGGGACCAAUAGAAUAGUUCCAGGGGAGUCUUGUGACCAUGAGAUGCAGCAGCAGCCUUCACGUUAAGUUUGUUUCAUUUCCACUAUUUAUUUAGACAAAAAACCUGGCUGAUCUCUCAUAGAUUUGUCUUGUGUACUCAUGUGUACCUUAGCCCACCAUCCAGCUCCGUUCAUGAUACAGUGACAAUGCCUGGCUGCCACUAAAAGCUGUGGGAUACAGAAGGGUCUCCAUCUUGCAAUGGCAUCAUAUUUAAAGAUCCUCCAAUUCUGCAGAAGUUUGCAUAGGAAGAAGCAUGAAGAAGAGAUAAUGUUCACCAAAUCCCCCCUGCAGAAUUCAGCACAACCUCCCAUCCUAUUUCAAAGUGUUCCUAGAUAUUCAUCACUCAGAAGUGGUUUACCCGUCCCUUCUUCUGGAUGCACUGUGGGACCUGAUUUAUCAUCCUUUUUCAUUCUAUGGUUUCAAGAAAAUGUGACAAGGAAUGUUUAUUCAGAAGGGAAUAAAGCAAGCUAGACCACCCCUUUCUCAGUCAGCCAGGUCCCAUUGCUCUUUCAGAGCUUAAUAGCUUUCACAGCAGCUUUCCAAGAUUUUGAUGCUGAUGAUUUCCUUACUUGAUUAAUCUUUGCAGACAUCUAGCUAUCUAUCUAUAUAUAAAACACCCAGUUUCUAAAGCGAAUGGAUCACCUGACGUCAAGUUGACUGAAACCCACAAUGACAAGCUGCAGCGGGAGUUCAGGCAGAGAGAGGAAAGAGAAAAUGCUACUCAUAGGAAGUGUCUGUAAGGCUUCGCUGAGAAGUGGGAGCUGAUCUCCAUAGUGAUUCCAUUUCCUACCCUACAGCCACUACAGGCCAUGAAGAGACACUUCAUCGAGGAUCCUAUUUAAGUGGACACUUUUAUUUAGUGGGCAAAAGAGAGAGAGGGAGAGAGGGAUUGGGAGAGGAAGAGUUGAGCCUCUGCCACGAAGCCUGAAGCAUCACUGACAAACCGCUUUAUCAAUGCUGCACUCAGAAAUCAGGCACUAACAUUGUCCGAGUGAUUUGCCAGCCUUCUGGCAUAUGUUUGUGUAACCCCAAAUAUAGCUGUAUAAGUAACACAAUAUGUGCUGUUUGCUGUGUCUCUCUAGGCUUCUCUGCAUCGUCCAGAGCUCCCAUUUGUUCAUGUUCUGGCCUGUUGCAGAGCCUAC